UUAUAACAAGUAGAAUUAAUUUGUUUAUGAAAAGUUAUACGUAGGUGCUAUUGUCGACAACCCACUGAAUUUAAAAUACAAUCAUGUCUAUGAUAUGAAUGAUAUGAUAUUUUAUGGAGAACUGAAUACAAGGAGGUGAGAGCUCAAUUAAUGCAGUUGGCCAAGAAACUGCAGAGGAAAGAUAUAACCUUAGCAGGUGUGGAAUCAAACAACAGCUGAAAUGAUUGACAAUUUGAAAGCCAAAUCAAGGAAAUAGCGAAACUCAGUUUCUGGCUGGCGAAUGCAACAAGCGACUAUUGGCAGUAGACCUUACCUUCAAUCAGGAUGAUGUUUUGACACAGUGGCAGAGGGUCAAAUUGUUAGCAAAAAGCUUGUUCACAGACCAGCAGAGGACCCAACCACUGACUUGAUGAAGCUUGUAAAGACAAGAAGAAGAUGAAGCUGGGCCAAGCCACACUUGACGACUUGCUUCAGAUCAAGCUUGUUACGCCAGCCUUAAGUAACUAUGACCCAGAAGACUCUAUUGAUCAGUGGCUGACUGCAUCUAACAAACCUCGUGGAGGGAGAAGGUUGGAAUACAGCAGGUUGAAAACAAGUCAUAAAUGCAAAAACAGAACAUGAAGACAGGACAGGAAAUGCCCCCAAGGAUUCCCAGCCUGGGCCACUUCAAAACUAUGCAGAAGACACAACAGAAGAGUACAGUGAAGAUGACAUAAAGCGUUUAAUAAAAUAUUAUACAGAUAGUGAUUUCUGUAGUGACUUUCAAAAUGAGCAAGAUAACUUAAACAAAUAACUUUGUUACUAAAAACCAAAAAAAAAACUGAUCUUUUCU